rnacentral:rRNA from 1 species
GACGAACGCUGGCGGCGUGCUUAACACAUGCAAGUCGAACGGAAAGGCCCUGCUUUUGUGGGGUGCUCGAGUGGCGAACGGGUGAGUAACACGUGAGUAACCUGCCCUUGACUUUGGGAUAACUUCAGGAAACUGGGGCUAAUACCGGAUAGGAGCUCCUGCUGCAUGGUGGGGGUUGGAAAGUUUCGGCGGUUGGGGAUGGACUCGCGGCUUAUCAGCUUGUUGGUGGGGUAGUGGCUUACCAAGGCUUUGACGGGUAGCCGGCCUGAGAGGGUGACCGGCCACAUUGGGACUGAGAUACGGCCCAGACUCCUACGGGAGGCAGCAGUGGGGAAUAUUGCACAAUGGGCGGAAGCCUGAUGCAGCAACGCCGCGUGCGGGAUGACGGCCUUCGGGUUGUAAACCGCUUUCGCCUGUGACGAAGCGUGAGUGACGGUAAUGGGUAAAGAAGCACCGGCUAACUACGUGCCAGCAGCCGCGGUGAUACGUAGGGUGCGAGCGUUGUCCGGAUUUAUUGGGCGUAAAGGGCUCGUAGGUGGUUGAUCGCGUCGGAAGUGUAAUCUUGGGGCUUAACCCUGAGCGUGCUUUCGAUACGGGUUGACUUGAGGAAGGUAGGGGAGAAUGGAAUUUCUGGUGGAGCGGUGGAAUGCGCAGAUAUCAGGAGGAACACCAGUGGCGAAGGCGGUUCUCUGGGCCUUUCCUGACGCUGAGGAGCGAAAGCGUGGGGAGCGAACAGGCUUAGAUACCCUGGUAGUCCACGCUGUAAACGGUGGGUACUAGGUGUGGGGUCCAUUCCACGGGUUCCGUGCCGUAGCUAACGCUUUAAGUACCCCGCCUGGGGAGUACGGCCGCAAGGCUAAAACUCAAAGGAAUUGACGGGGCCCCGCACAAGCGGCGGAGCAUGCGGAUUAAUUCGAUGCAACGCGUAGAACCUUACCUGGGUUUGACAUGGAUCGGGAGUGCUCAGAGAUGGGUGUGCCUCUUUUGGGGUCGGUUCACAGGUGGUGCAUGCCUGUCGUCAGCUCGUGUCGUGAGAUGUUGGGUUAAGUCCCGCAACGAGCGCAACCCUUGUUCACUGUUGCCAGCACGUUAUGGUGGGGACUCAGUGGAGACCGCCGGGGUCAACUCGGAGGAAGGUGGGGAUGACGUCAAGUCAUCAUGCCCCUUAUGUCCAGGGCUUCACGCAUGCUACAAUGGCUGGUACAGAGAGUGGCGAGCCUGUGAGGGUGAGCGAAUCUCGGAAAGCCGGUCUCAGUUCGGAUUGGGGUCUGCAACUCGACCUCAUGAAGUCGGAGUCGCUAGUAAUCGCAGAUCAGCAACGCUGCGGUGAAUACGUUCCCGGG